rnacentral:rRNA from 1 species
UCGAGGAUCAUUCGCAAUGGGCGAAAGCCUGACGAUGCGACGCUGCGUGAGCGAUGAAGGCCUUCGGGUCGUAAAGCUCUUUCGCGCAAGAACAAGGAAAAGGUGUGAAUAACAUUUUAACUUGAGUGUACUGCGUAAAGAAGCACCGGCUAACUCCGUGCCAGCAGCUGCGGUAAUACGGAGAGUGCAAGCAUUAAUCGGAAUUAUUGGGCGUAAAGGGCGCGUAGGCGGAAAUAUAAGUCAGAUGUGAAAUUCCAAAGCUCAACUUUGGAGCUGCAUUUGAAACUGUAUAUCUAGAGGGACGACGGAGAAAACGGAAUUCCACGUGUAGCGGUGAAAUGCGUAGAUAUGUGGAAGAACACCAGUGGCGAAAGCGGUUUUCUAGUUUAAAACCUGACGCUGAGGCGCGAGAGCAAGGGGAGCAAACAGGAUUAGAUACCCCCGUAGUCC